GCAUCGAUGAAGAACGCAGCCAGUUGCGAUAAGUAGUGUGAAUUGCAGAAUUCAGUGAAUCAUCGAAUCUUUGAACGCAAAUUGCGCUUUCUGGAUAUCCAGGGAGCAUGCCUGUCUGAGCGUCGUUUAAUAAACUACACACCACGGUGUGGGAGGGGAGUUCACCAGACCCUAUUCGGGAUUAGUGUCUCUCGAUGUUUCUGAACCUGGUAGUGUGCACAUUGCACUACUUGGAAGGCUCAACUUGCUUCUGUCCUUCUUUGUAGUUCUUUUGUAUUCAAUUUCCAUGUUCUACUUCAGUGUUACAGCUGAAAACUCUUGAUUUUGACCUCAGAUCAGACAAGACUACCCGCUGAAUUUAAGCAUAUCAAUAAGCGGAGGA
rnacentral:rRNA from 1 species